AACGAACGCUGGCGGCAUGCCUAACACAUGCAAGUCGAACGAGACCUUCGGGUCUAGUGGCGCACGGGUGCGUAACGCGUGGGAACCUGCCCUUAGGUUCGGAAUAACUCCCCGAAAGGGGUGCUAAUACCGGAUAAUGUCUUCGGACCAAAGAUUUAUCGCCUUUGGCUGGGCCCGCGUUGGAUUAGCUAGUUGGUAGGGUAAAAGCCUACCAAGGCGACGAUCCAUAGCUGGUCUGAGAGGAUGAUCAGCCACACUGGGACUGAGACACGGCCCAGACUCCUACGGGAGGCAGCAGUGGGGAAUAUUGGACAAUGGGCGAAAGCCUGAUCCAGCAAUGCCGCGUGAGUGGUGAAGGCCUUAGGGUUGUAAAGCUCUUUUACCCGGGAUGAUAAUGACAGUACCGGGAGAAUAAGCUCCGGCUAACUCCGUG
rnacentral:rRNA from 1 species